GAUGAACGCUGGCGGCGUGCCUAAUACAUGCAAGUCGAGCGAACAGACGAGGAGCUUGCUCCUCUGACGUUAGCGGCGGACGGGUGAGUAACACGUGGAUAACCUACCUAUAAGACUGGGAUAACUUCGGGAAACCGGAGCUAAUACCGGAUAAUAUAUUGAACCGCAUGGUUCAAUAGUGAAAGACGGUUUUGCUGUCACUUAUAGAUGGAUCCGCGCCGCAUUAGCUAGUUGGUAAGGUAACGGCUUACCAAGGCGACGAUGCGUAGCCGACCUGAGAGGGUGAUCGGCCACACUGGAACUGAGACACGGUCCAGACUCCUACGGGAGGCAGCAGUAGGGAAUCUUCCGCAAUGGGCGAAAGCCUGACGGAGCAACGCCGCGUGAGUGAUGAAGGUCUUCGGAUCGUAAAACUCUGUUAUUAGGGAAGAACAACUGUGUAAGUAACUAUGCACGUCUUGACGGUACCUAAUCAGAAAGCCACGGCUAACUACGUG
rnacentral:rRNA from 1 species